CAGAAUCUGGAAUUAGGGAGGGCAGUGAAUCCCUGCCUGGGACCUCUCCUAAGGCAGAAGGGAAGAAGAAGUGCACUGGCUCCUUUGAUUCCUACUGCUUUCCCGCUUCCACUAGGAUCUCCCAUUGGCUGAACCCAACUGGAAACCAAGUGACGUGGAAAUCUGCGAUGCAGCCUGCAGAAAUCAGUCCUCCUAGCAUCCACAGCAGAGGAUGGGUGAAACUGGCAAACAGUUUCCUAAGCUAAGACUGAGCCCCAAGCAGCUCCAUGAGGAGAAUUUCUGUUACUGCAGCAAGAGCUCCUUGAUGGAUCAAGGCUACACUUCUACCUCACCCCAUCCUCGCAACGAACCUAGGAGAAAGAGGUCAUCGGGAUCCUUCUCUGGAAAACCCGGGGUCUGGACAGUUGAAAGACGCUGGGCAGGCAGUGUUGGUGCCUUCCCUCUUAGGGCUGAAGAGGGUCGAAGAGAGCAGAGGCCCGAGGGCUCAUGGAAGAUGCAGGAAGCUGCACACCCUCCCAGCUUCUGCUUCUGGGGUGUGGUGGGAGGAGUUCACAUUCAGCAGCCACAUGUGUGAGCCCUGCCGGAGGCUCUGGAACAAGGUGACAAUUCUGAACGGACCUGAGGAGGCUUUGGUUCUAGCUCCAGGAUGCUGCCCCUCACUUUCAACAGACGGGAGCAAAGAGGGCCCUCACAUCUGCUGAGGGGCUACUGAGAAAGAGUGACGUUUAAGUAAGAGAGUGCAAUGUGGUCACACUGAUUCUGAAAGACGCACAGAAACGAAAGGCUCCAACCCUUGGAAUCUUCCUCUUGGGACUUAUUUUAAGGAAUAAAUCCAGAGAAAGAAUAAAAAAUUCUGCAUGCAGAAAGAUGUC
rnacentral:lncRNA from 1 species